rnacentral:rRNA from 1 species
CACGUAGGGGGCGAGCGUUGUCCGGAUUUAUUGGGCGUAAAGAGCUCGUAGGCGGCUCAGUAAGUCGGGUGUGGAAUUUCAGGGCUCAACCCUGAAACGCCACCCGAUACUGCUGUGGCUAGAGUCCGGUAGGGGAGCGUGGAAUUCCUGGUGUAGCGGUGAAAUGCGCAGAUAUCAGGAGGAACACCAGCGGCGAAGGCGGCGCUCUGGGCCGGAACUGACGCUGAGGAGCGAAAGCAUGGGUAGCGAACAGG